AUUACUGCUGCUGCUGCCGCCACCACCUCCAGGAAAGGACAGAAUCUGGGCACUCACCACCACUGAAGCUGCAGAUACUGAUCAGAAAUGAGCUACGACUAGCAAGAGACACUCUCUCCACAUGCCAGAGACACACUGGGACCGGCAACACCACAGAUCAUGGACCACGACUGGAACACAAACAACCACCGGGAAACGACGGCACCAAGGACCACUUGGAACACCACACGGGAUCAGGAGGGACACCACACAGGAUCAGGAUCAACAGAGGCAGGAACAAGAUGGUAGCAUCCAGGGCAGGGCCUCUCUGGGAAGCAACACUAGUCUCGUUCCAGAAGAACAAAAUAACAGCAUGAGGUUGAAACCUGGCACGAACCUUGGGGAACUAAACCAUCUGCCUAGAAAAGUAUGAAGACAUAGCAGUGAGUCACCAAGUUUUACUAGUCCUGCAGUCCGAGAGGAUACUGAGACAGCGCAUGCAACGUGCAUUCAUCGGGUCCCCCCGUCGCUCCCCAGCUUCAUGUUAGGUCUAAGCACUGUGGGGGAAUAGCGAGCUAAGAGAAUGCGUACCUGAUCUCAGAUACGGUCCUGGUGAAAGAGACCAUUCAAAUAAAGUCAGUGGGAGAAGAGAAGAUUGUAUCGAUCGCCUCUCCCGAGGGACCGACCCUUAAAUGGAUUCCACGUUUUAGGUCACAUUCUGAAACAGAAGUACACAUUGCAAUUGGUACACCGUGAUUUUGUGUACCGCGAUGGGGAAAGAAAAAGACACGAGGCGCUUUAAAUUGAACCGAGUGCUGUUUUGAUCUGUAAACUAUGUAUAAAAGAUAUCCGCUCGGUUGAGCACUUCAAGCGGUUACCAUGCUAGUACGAAAAAGCAAAAUCAGGCUGCAGGACUUGGGGAGAGGCAUGCUCCAAGCUUCCUCCAAUGUGCAAGAAAGAGAGCCCUUACUAGAGUGUAUCUAUAAAUGUAAAGACGUCUACAGACACAAGGCUGCGUCAGUUAAUGCUGCCCAGAAGCGCUCUGCCUCCUGGUGCUCUUCCCCUUUAUUUGUAUCCCGUCGCUGUGUAUUUCAGGGAUGAAAAAGAGCAAUUGCUGUAGCAGCUGCAGCAGGCAUUGUGUAUGGGCAAUACAAAGCAUCUACCUCAACAGCACAUGGGUCUCGUGGCAUCCUCUCUAGUAACCUUCCCCUCACGCGGAUUGCAGUAGUUCUCUCCCUUUGCCCAGGUCCCACACGUAUCGAUCCCCUCCGCCCGCCUGACUAGAAUGUCCGAGGCUAGUAACUGGAGUCCUCCCUAAUCCCUCUGUCACCAGAGGCUUCCUCCUUGGGGCUGAUCAUGCCUUAAUGGGACCCCUGCAGGACAACGAACUUGUCACUGGCCAGUGCUUACAUGUACAUCUGUAUACAGCCCUAGUCACAACAGGCAUCCUAUGAGCCUUUAAGGGCUGGUUACUAAUGCAGCCAAAGCUGACUUGUAUUAGUAUUUAACAGUGAAUAGAAACAUCUGUCCAUUUGUGCCAGCUGUGCGCAUGAGCCACUCCCUGGGCCCGAUCGGAUCCCCCCUGAAGUCAAUGGAAAGACUCCCAUUGAUUUCAAGGGAAGUUGGAUCGGGCUCCAUGUGAGCCAUAAAGGCCCUUUCCUGACAUCCAGAUCUGAUCGCCAGGUUAAAUUACCAGUUUGCCUUAAU